CAUGUCCAUCUGGGUGUCAGACAAACAUUUAACAACAACAUGGAUGACAGUGAACAUACAGAAUCUGACAGUAGGGCGACGAGGGCGGGAGACGGGGGCUCUGGAGUCGGGCCUCACUUGGCGCCGACACUUGACUGGAGUUGACGCUCAUGAAGAAGCCUGAGAAACCGGAAAAACAGUGUCAACUCUGACUCAGAGCACGAGAGCUCACAAGUUGUCUCCUAAUCGGCUUCCACCUGUGCGAUUGGUGUGAUCGGUGGGCGGCCAAGCGCCGCUGCCGGCCUUCUGCCUACGCCAGCUUCUCUGACCUUGGCCGGAGGCCGUCCAGCCGCAGCUGUCCCUCUCAAAUGUGCAAGGACCUGCAAGGCGCCGAUAGUGAGCAGGGAUGCCGGGAACGCCACGAGUCACGUGCUCAGAAAUAUCAAAGCUGGGAACGACAACAACGUAGCCGCCGUUUCCCGUUUGACGAGACGCAGCAGGCGAUUGUGAUUCACUUUGUUGACGUCUGAUUACAACACAAGUCAGGAGAGGAGAAGGUGAAGUGUGCCCUCUGCCAGUCGUAAUGAUGCGACGGCGUCCUGAGCCACAGCUCGGUGUCGUCGGUACCCGAGGCGAACGUCCUGGAACGCGCAGAAAGUUUUCCCGCGGUGUCUUGCAGGCUGUAGUAGAAGAAUCGGAUCUGCACCGACACACGGUCGUGCACGAUUCACGUUAUUACUCUUUAACAUCAAGUUGCAAACAUUGAAAAUAAGAAAAGAAGUCAAAUGUGUCUCAUGCGUAGCUGCCAAUACAUUUUUCCGCAUAGGACAUCAUGCAAAGUGUAAAUGAUUUGUCAUCCGAAUUAAAUGAAACAUGAAUCGCCACGACACUCACCGUACAAUUUGAGCUAGGAAGUAACGUUCUGGAAAGAAUCUCCGAUAUGUGUCCCAUCCCCGUGAGAUGAGUCCCUGGAGUUAUAUAGUGACCUGAGGAAAUAACAUGAGAAUAAAGGCAGGUUGCCGUGGCAACAACCCCCAUUUCAUGACUUGCAAAACAGGCUUAUUAUGUGGCAACUUUUUCCAUUCACCCGCAGCACUGUUGCGAGUAUGAUCCCGGGGGGGUCCGUCAGCGGGCCAGGCGUCUUGUCCUUUUCGUCGGGUCCAUCUGGCUCCGGGGGAGUUCAAGCGGCUUUCAGCCCAAGAGCACAGGCCUUGUUCAAAGCUGCAGCGCUCUGUCUCACCUGCUUAAGAGUCAAAUGAGAGAAGAUGGACAGAAAAGUCAACCGCUUCAAUCGGCUGUGUUCACCUCCACAAUGGCGCAAACCCCCCUUUUGUGUUGGUUUGUUUCUGGGUGUGGCGCAAUUUGAUAGUAAAAUAAAAAUAAAUAAAAUAGUGUUUA